rnacentral:rRNA from 1 species
GACGAACGCUGGCGGCGUGCUUAACACAUGCAAGUCGAACGGAAAGGCCCUGCUUUUGUGGGGUGCUCGAGUGGCGAACGGGUGAGUAACACGUGAGUAACCUGCCCUUGACUUUGGGAUAACUUCAGGAAACUGGGGCUAAUACCGGAUAGGAGCUCCUGCUGCAUGGUGGGGGUUGGAAAGUUUCGGCGGGUGGGGAUGGACUCGCGGCUUAUCAGCUUGUUGGUGGGGUAGUGGCUUACCAAGGCUUUGACGGGUAGCCGGCCUGAGAGGGUGACCGGCCACAUUGGGACUGCGAUACGGCCCAGACUCCUACGUGAGGCAGCAGUGGGGAAUAUUGCACAAUGGGCGGAAGCCUGAUGCAGCAACGCCGCGUGCGGGAUGACGGCCUUCGGGUUGUAAACCGCUUUCGCCUGUGACGAAGCGUGAGUGACGGUAAUGGGUAAAGAAGCACCGGCUAACUACGUG